UCCAUGGCUGAUUGUGUCCUUGCCUGUGCUCCUGCUUUGUGUGCGCUUGUGUUCAGGCAGGGUCCACAGGAAUCCAUGGGGGAGCACAAAUUCCUGCAUGAAUCCUCCCCGAUGUGACGGAGCCUCUCUGUGUCUGUCUGUGUGCGUCUGUGUGUGUGAGUGUGUGUCCUAUUGUGUUACUGAGCCAGUGGAAUGCGUUGAUCUCACUGGAGACGCUCUCCAUGGCUCUGCCCUGAGCAUCCCAGAGCAGCAUUUGCCCAGACUCAGAAGGAGUCUGGGAGUCAUUGAACAAUGAUGGAGCAGCCUGCAGGAGAUUUUUCCAGGGAAGAGGCGCUGAAAUGCAGUGCCUGCUUCCUGAGUUCUCCUUUCCCAGCUGCUCCAAAAACAUCACACUCUGCUACUGCCAAUUGCAAGCCCCAACAAGGAGGGUUUCACCAAGUCGGGAUUUUUAGCUUAAUUCCGUUUCAAACGUUGGGAGUGCCUCAGCACGGCUGGGAGUGCUCGCACACACACGGAAACAUGGGUACAUGGACACUGAGACAUACAAAUACACACAGGGCCAGUGCACAGCUGCUCUCUCCUGAGCUGAAUCCGAUUGGUUUCGUGGACACGCAGGAAGGCUGGGGCUUUGUGCCCACGUCCUGGAUCCGUGUGAGUGCAUUUCUUUCCAGCGCCCUGAGCGACAAUUCGGGAGUCCCCACAGGACAGCAAAGAGAGGAUGUGAGGGAACAGAUGAUGGGAGCGAAGGAAAGGCAGGGACUGUCGAUGCUGAGCUGCACGAUGCCAGCCCGAUGCCCUGGGCCCCAGCCCGGCGCCGCCGCUUGCGACGUGCAGAGAGCCGAGCGCCGCCCCGCAGCCCCCGCGCUCGCCUCCGCUCCGUUCCCUGGCGGGACUGGGCGAGAGCCCGAGCGGCAGCGGCGCAGGGCUGAGCCCCGGGGCGGAGCUGGCGGCGGCCCAGAGGAGGCGGCACGGCCGCAGCAGAGCCGGGGCUCAGGGGCACAGCGAGGCUCGGCCGGCGGAGCGGCGCCAUGCGGCGGGCUCGGGCCGCGGGGCUGCCGGCGCUGGCCGCGCUGCUGCUCGUGGCUGUGGCCAGAGCCCAGGUAGAGCAGGAGCCUUUCCUGGAGACCACCGAGGGCACCGGCAUCAACAUCACCGGCUCACAUCCCCAAAUCCAGACCGACCAAACGAUCUACUGGUACCGUCAGCUGCCGGGCCGAGGACCCGAACUCUUCGUGAGCAUUUUCAAAGACUCCAAAGAGCUGCCGGACAGUGCGGGCCAUGUGCGGGUGUCGCCAGAUCGGCGUUCCAGCGCGCUGUGGCUGGCUGUGCCCCGGCGCGGGGACGCGGCCGUGUAUUACUGCGCGCUGGGGGCCACGGGCAGAGGAGCCGGGGCUGCGGCCGAGCACGAACCGCCGCGGGCGGGGCCGGGCGGGGCCAGCAGGGGCCGCUGCCGCUCCGCCCGCCGGGGCCUCCUCGCUCCGCUCGUCCCGGGCUGCCGGCACCGACACCGGAACCGACACCGGCACCGGGACCGACACCGGCAAAGGGACCGACACCGGCACUGUCACCAGGACCGGCCCCUACAACGGGACCUGCACCAGCAUCGGCACUGACACAGGACCUAACCCUGGCAAUGGCACCGGAACCGACACCGGAACGGACACCGGCACCGACACCAGAACCGAAACCGGCAACGGGACUGGCACCAACACUAGAACUGAUACCAGAACCAAUACCGGCAAUGAGACCGGGACCGACACUGGCGAUGGGACCGACACCGGCACUGACACCAGAACCGACACCCGCAAUGGGAACGGCACCGGCACCUGCACGGACCCCAGCACCGGCAACGACAGCGGUACUGGCAGCGACACC